rnacentral:tRNA from 1 species
GCCUGGGUGGCUCAGUCGGUUGAGCGUCUGACUCCAGCUCAGGUCAUGAUCUCGCGGUCCGUGGGUUCAAGCCCCGCAUCGGGCU